GAUGAACGCUGGCGGCGUGCCUAAUACAUGCAAGUCGAGCGAACAGACGAGGAGCUUGCUCCUCUGACGUUAGCGGCGGACGGGUGAGUAACACGUUGCUAACCUACCUAUAAGACUGGGAUAACUUCGGGAAACCGGAUCUAAUACCGGAUAAUAUAUUGAACCGCAUGUUUCAAUAGUGAAAGACGUUUUUUCUGUCACUUAUAGAUGGAUCCGCGCCGCAUUAGCUAGUUGGUAAGGUAACGGCUUACCAAGGCGACGAUGCGUAGCCGACCUGAGAGGGUGAUCGGCCACACUGGAACUGAGACAAGGUCCAGAAUCCUACGGGAGGCAGCAGUAGGGAAUCUUCCGGAAAGGGCGAAAGCCUGACGGAGCAACGCCGCGUGAGUGAUGAAGGUCUUCGGAUCGUAAAACUCUGUUAUUAGGGAAGAACAAAUGUGUAAGUAACUAUGCACGUCUUGACGGUACCUAAUCAGAAAGCCACGGCUAACUACGUG
rnacentral:rRNA from 1 species